CAGUCGCCGCGGUAAUACGAAGGGGGCUAGCGUUGUUCGGAUUUACUGGGCGUAAAGGGCGCGUAGGCGGACUGAUAAGUCAGGGGUGAAAUCCCAAGGCUCAACCUUGGAACUGCCUUUGAUACUGUUUGUCUUGAGUUCGAGAGAGGUAAGUGGAACUGCGAGUGUAGAGGUGAAAUUCGUAGAUAUUCGCAAGAACACCAGUGGCGAAGGCGGCUUACUGGCUCGAGACUGACGCUGAGGCGCGAAAGCGUGGGGAGCAAACAGGAUUAGAUACCCGUGUAGUCCCUGUCUCUUAUAC
rnacentral:rRNA from 1 species